UUUGGGGUGGCGGCAGCAGGAGGGGGCUGCCCAGGCAAGCCGGUUGUUUCCUUUUCUUCCCCGCAGCCUGGCCUGGAGGCGGCCUUGGCCGCAGGAGAUUCCCCGGAAGUCGGACUCCAGAGUCCUUGAGAGGCCCCUGUCAUCACUGUCAGUAUCAUCAUCAUCAUCAUCAUCAUCAUCAUCAUGAUAGAACGGAUUCCUCUGGAAGGUUCUAGGAAAAUAAAGAGACGGAUGGGGAGACACGUAGACCCUCUAGAAGGAAGACACCCUGCUGGUACCUUGAAUUUAGCCCAAUGAGAACUGUGUUGGAUCUCUGACCUCCACAGCCAUAAGCAUCCCAGACUGACUAAGACAGUGGAGAAUGCCUCCGGGUGUGAAACUGAUUGCCUGGAGAAUGCUGAAACCCAGGGAAGUGGGCAGCACAGAUGUUAAAUCACUUAAUCCUGCCAGCACAGUAGGAGAUCUCUCGCUUCUCCUUGCUCCUCCUCCGUCCAUCUCUCUCCCUCCAGUUUUCGCUUCCUCUCCUAUUCCUCCCAUCUUCUUCCCCUCCCAUCUUCUCCCUCCCUCGAUUCCCCAGUGUAUCUCGCAGAACCCAGAGCCCAGAGCGGAUUGCUGGCCCUCCCGCGUAUGCCCACGGUUGGAGCUGGACUGCGGGACCGAAGCUCCAGCUCCGAGCCAAGGAUCAGCUCCAGUGGCUGCUCGGCUCUGUCGCCCGGUCCAGCUCAGUGGCAUGGACGCUGUUCCCUGGGGCUGAGAUCCUCUGGCUGUAAAGCCCAGCUUCUCCUGGCAGAGACUUGAGAAAAGAGAGAGCCAAUGCUGAGCAUGCUUCUUUCUCCUCCCUCAGUGUUUCUGCCCCAGGUAAAUACCCUUAAUAUUUUUUCUGGUGUUUGGAUGGUGGUGCUUGUUGAUGUCACGUGUUUUUAUAGUGAGCGUGAUCACAGUGUUGAAAGCAGGGCUUGGUUCACUUAAAAAUGAGCUGGGGGGUAGGGGCAGGGCUGUACUUAAUAUGUUUGAGUUGUUCUGCAGGAGCUAAGGCCCCCAUCCAGGUGGAGGAUGGUAACUUCAGGUUGAGCACGAGAUUCCUGGAACAUGGCCCUAUUACCUACCACCAACUAGUCAGAAGAAAGACAUACACCUGGAAGCCCUCAAGCCUCAUUUUGCCUAUUAAAAACUUUACCCUAAAAAAAAAAAAGAAAAAAUUCACCUCAAAAACCAUCAGAGAGUUCAGGGUUUUUGAGCACGAGCCACUGUUCUCCUUGUUUGGCCCUAUAGUAAAAACUUUCUCUACUCCAAAAACAAAAACAAAACAAACAAAAAAAAAGAGAUGAGGGCAUGAGGCUGUGACAUUCUCCAUCCUCCCCUCUCCCAGCGUGAAACAUGUGACUGUCGGUUUUAAAAAGAUAUAGUCCUUAACUAGUCCAGCCCAACUACUGUGUGUUAACAGGAGCAGCACCAUCAGAGGCAUUUUGGAGACCCAGGAGCAUUGCAGUCCUAAAGAUCUCCUGGCAAAUUUUUGUUUGGUUUUGUUUUUUUGUUUUUCUUAAAUUGUGGGGCAGACUAGUAAUAUAGAGGGAAAAAUAGUGGUCCAGAAAUAUUUUUUCAUAGAACUGCUUUAUUGCGAUAUUGUUCACACACUGUGAAGUCCACCCAUUUAAAUGGUACAAUUCAGCGGCUUUUAGUAUAUUCACAG